rnacentral:rRNA from 1 species
AUUGAACGCUGGCGGCAUGCCUUACACAUGCAAGUCGAACGGCAGCACGGGGGCAACCCUGGUGGCGAGUGGCGAACGGGUGAGUAACAUAUCGGAACAUACCCUAGAGUGGGGAUAACGUAGCGAAAGUUACGCUAAUACCGCAUACGAUCUAAGGAUGAAAGUGGGGGAUCUUCGGACCUCAUGCUCAUGGAGUGGCCGAUAUCUGAUUAGCUAGUUGGUGAGGUAAAGGCUCACCAAGGCGACGAUCAGUAGCUGGUUUGAGAGAACGACCAGCCACACUGGAACUGAGACACGGUCCAGACUCCUACGGA